GCUCUCUCAGCCGGGUGCAGGAUGGCAGGAGGUGGCAGCUGUAACUUCCAAGGUGAGACAUCUACCACGGACCCGCUGGGUUAGGUCCUGGCACUUCUUUUCUUGGUCUCCUACCCUCACCUCCCAAGUAACACUUGAAGAGUUGGGAGAGGUCUUGAGGGCAGAAGGAGGAGGAGGAGGAGGCGGUGGCCAUUUGGGCUAGGACAGUAAAGGCAGGUGAGGGUGGGGGCCCUGGCUGGCUGGAGGAGAUUGUAUAAAAGAAAACACGUGACACAAGGAGGAGAGAAGGCAGGCGUUUUGGGAAAGGUCUGGUCCAGGCAGGAAGGUGGGAUGUUUAUUCCAGAGCAAAAUGGCCUUCGUCCGUCUGUUCUAACCCCCAUACCCACUUCUUCCACAGAACUACAAUUAUAACCAGCAUGCGUAUCCCACUGCCUAUGGUGGGCAGUAUUCAGUCAAGACCCCUGCAAAGGGGGGAGUCUCGCCUUCUUCCUCGGCUUCCCGGGUGCAACCUAGCCUGCUGCAGUGGGUGAAGUUUUGGUAGGCAAUUUCUUCCAACCACCACCAAGGCCCCGAAAAGCACUGGUCAUCAGGGAGCUCCUCCCCUUGGCCCCCAGCCUGUGCCAGCCCUGGCCCGGCUGCCAUACCUCUGUUUCCUAGGCUGGGGACCCAGCUUGUCUCUCCUUGUUUCUUCCCACUGCACUGGGGUGCUUCAGUGACCACCAGCCUCAUCGGAUACACCAGCAUCUUUCUGUACCUCCUCCCUUUUGUG
rnacentral:sRNA from 1 species